UCCGGGCCCGGGCCCCGCCCCGUCCCGGCGCCGCGGCGGCCGGGGGCGGGGCCUGGCGCCGGGGGCGGAGAGUGAGCCGGGGGCUGGCGGCGGCCGGCCCCACCCCCGCCUCGCUCCCCAGUCGGGCCCCGCCCACGACCGCUGCGCCGCGGCGCGAGGAGAGGCCCACCCCGCUGGCCUCGAGCCCCGCCUCACUACUACGCAGAUGGGGCGUGGCCUUAUCUCGCCACGCCCCCUCCGCUCGCCCCUCCUCGGCCAGGGGAGGUGUGUGGUGGGGCUCGGGUGGGCGAGACCAUUCGCGAUGGUCCGGCGGGGAGGGCGGGCUGUACCAUCCGCGGGAGGAGCCUCGGGUCCUCUUCGCGCGCCAGGGCGCCGCGGGGCCCGGCCCCCCCGGGCUGCCCUCGGAGGCCGGGCCGCGCGGGCGUUUGGCGCCCAGGCCCCUACUCUGCGCAGCGCCCUCUUUGUGUACAGGCCCGCGGCAGCCCCCCGCUUUCUUCCCCGCGGAUGCGCACGUGCGUCCCGAGCGCGGCGGCUGUGCCCAGAGACCCGCCUGACCCCGAGCGCCCUUAGCCCUGGUCCGGGCUCCAGCCACUGCAGCACGCUCGCCUCUGGUCUCGCGCUCUGCCCUCAGGCACCUGUCCCCCGGUGAUCCACGCAAGGCCCAGUCUGUAGGUGAAGUGGCCUCCCUUAGAGCGACCCGGAAAGUGUGGUCGUAUUUCAAGGUGGACUUUCAAAGGCGGUGCUGCCUUGCGUCCGCGGGCCCCGCCGGUGGCCGUGCGCUCCAAGACGUGAAGGGAAGGGCAGGCCUUCCCUAGUGCAGAGGCACGGGGCUUGGCUGACUGUCCAUUUUUGCGGAAACCUUCCUCCUGUGUGGGAUCGCUGUCUGGAGAAGGGCUCCCGCGCUGCUCCGGGAAGAAGCAGACCCAGGACGGGAACACGUGGCUGAAAGGGCCAUCUCCAGAAAAGAGGAAGAGCUGCAGGUGCCGUCGGUGAUCCCCUCCAGAAUACCUCAAGGUGUGAUGCAGUAAUCUGAGGGCCACGGAGUAGUGACUCGGUCCUGUAUUUACGAGGCAUCCUUCUCCAAGGGAAGCAAGGUGCUCUAAGGACAGCUCAUGUGCGGUACACAGGGGCAGCUCCAACGUUCCUGCGAGGAGAAUGACAGCAAACACCAUCUCCCGCCAAGACAUCCUGAGUGUCUGGGGUUUUCUGCUGAGCUUUGGAUGCCGCCGCGUCGAGGAAACUUUGCCAGACGCGUCACCCCCUCCGGCCUCCCCACAAGGGUGGGGCUUCCGGGGCAGCUCCCAGAGGCUAGAAGGCCAGUUCGGGAGUUUCCUCGGCGCCUCGAGGCACCCCCUGGGCAGCUGUCGUACAACAAGAAUUGAGCCGUCUUUGUCUCCGGUUCCGGCUCAACCCCUCAGACCACACCUGAGUUUAUGCUAAUGAGGCGCUGGAAACUCAGAUGGGCGUCUGGAUCACUUGGCUGUGCUGAUGGGCGGAGAGCGCACCCAAGGGCCCUCCCGGACCUCACCUGUAGUCAUCAGGACCUGCUUUCCUGAGUUCCGUGAGCCAUUCUGGCGAACGAUGGAACCGGAGGGGGUGCCGGGAACCCCCAAAUUUGUAGCCAGUUGGUCAGAAGCACGAGGGGCCUGGAACCCCCAAAGUGCAGCUGGUGUCCGGAGUGAGGACGGUCUUGUGGGGGGCCGUGUCCUCAACCUGCAGGGUCUGCGCUGAGCCUGGAGUUGGUGUCAGGGUCGUACCGCUCACCCCAGCGCACUCGCCUUGGGCCCAGGCGCCCGGUCCAGAUCUGUCCUGCGACCACCCCCAGGUCUCAACAUGGCACCCCGGGGGCCUGGGGGCCACGCCCUAAGAGGAGGCAGUACCUCCAGCCUCACCGCGAGCGCGGGGAUGGGCCAGCUGCCCUAACGUUUCCCCCCGUCGCCGCUUCGUGUACGUUUGGGAACGGACCAGUUGUAGUAGAUUUUGUUAUCGAAUAACACACGUCGUUGAAAGCUCAAAUAUAGAAGCAAACAAAAAUAUAGACGCCGAUAAAUGAAAAUACCCCCAGUGUCCCCAUGGGCUGUCGCCGUGCCCUGGAAGAGGUGCCCUUUUCAGGGGAGAAGGAGGAAGCCGGCCCGGUUCCCGCAGGGAAGGCGGGGAUGCUGCACCCGCCCCCAACCCUCCCCCUGCCCCCUCCUGCUCUGUGCCCUGAGGGGCCAUCGCACUGGCUGCCCCCAGGAUCCUCCUCCGGCUCCCGGGUGGGCUGGCCCAUGUGGGCACCUUCAGAACGCAGAGGGUCGGCAGAAAGCCAGGGGUCAUGCCUGGGUCACCGUGGGUGCAGGGUCCUCGCCCGCUGUCACAGCCCCAGGCAUCGCCUGCCUCCUGGUUCUGAGACUGCCCCUCCCCUGCCCUCCCUCUGGGGGCUCUCAGCUCUCGAUAACCAACCCCAUGUGAGGAACCAGCGGUGCCUCAUCCCUCGGCCCCAGCUCGCAGCCAGUGCCCGCAGGAAGUGUCCUCAGAUGACCGGUACAAUGUCCCACUGGGAACAGGGAGGGGGCCAGAAAGCAGCCUACGCCCCGCGGGAGCAGCCGCCGUCCGCCCAGCGCUGAGGCUCAUGGCGGGGAAGCCCGGGUGGUUCUGGUCCGACCAGGCUGGGGUGAGAGGGGGCAGGCCCGCAAAGGUCACUGAGGACAGAGGGCAGGGGGCAGGUACCCUUGGCUGGCAGACCCUCUGUGCGGCGGGGACGGGGAGGCCCCUCCUCCAUCGUGGGCCUGGGGUCUCCCCAGUGUCAGACGUGGGAGACCCACCUCAUGGGCCGACAGCAGCAAACGCUGGAGAGGCCGGGACACCUGCACCCCGGUGUCUCAGGUUGUCACAGGACCAGGAGAUGGCAAAGGUGUUACCAGGGCAACACGGGCCGUCCAGCCUCUCUCAGAUGCUCCAGGGGGAGUUUCUCAACGUCUGGUCCAGUCCCACCUGCCUCUCAGUCACUGAGCAUUUGUUAAAGUGCAGAUCGUUGGUGCUGAGGAAACCCCCUGCCCCACACGACUUAGAUAAGUCCGCGCUUCCUCACGACCCCCGUAGGACUCGCAGAAGAUGCCCCUUUUUUUUUUUCUAGAAGAUGCCCUUUUACACACAGGCCCUCCAAUGUCCCGUUGUUUGUCUUGUGAAGGGUGAGCUGAGAUUAGAAUUGUCCCUGUGAAACCAGCUGGACACAGAGACAAACAUUUCCGUUCAGCGAACUGAGCCGUCUCUCGAUGGCCCUGCCUGUAAAGCCCAAGGCAGGCCCCCUCCGCUGAGCAGCUCUGAUCUUGGGCGUCCCCUUCCCUUAGCAGCCUGAAUAAAAUCAAUCUCCACUCUCGUUUGUUUUGUCCCCGCAGCUCCCACCCUGGGCCCAGGAGUCACCGGCACCCUUGGGCGAUUCCUACGGGGUCAAGUUUGAGCAGCUCAGCCCUAGAGGCAGCAGCAUCAGAGCAUCUCGAGGGCUGCGUGGUCCGACCUCAGACAGACACUGUGCACAGCCGGGGACCCAGACUUCUAUCCUCACCAGGUCCUCCCCGUGCAGCCUUUUAUUGGUUCGUCAUCAUCACCACUGCUGACAACGAGUGAUCUCCCUGGGAGGAUCCCAAGAACUGUGGUGGCUGCCAGGCGCUUUGGCACGGAAUUCCUCUCUGAGUCGGAGCCCGAGGCCGUUAGCGCGGGGGAACAGCUGCGAGGGCCACACCUCCUCGAGUCAUUUGAAAAUUUUAUGACGAAUAAAAACGAUCCAUGACACAGACUUAUGCAUUAUAUAUUAACCUAAUACCUCUACAAUUACACCACCAGCAGUCUUUUGUUACACACAUAUUUUCCUAAGGACGCUCCAACUCCAAUAGUAAAACGUUGACUCCAGUGACACUACAUAAAAUUUCCUCCUUCUGUGUUGUCAAAUCCUUAAUAACAAUGACAAGUCUAACAUUCAGUGAAAGGAGGAGAGCGAGGUGGAAACCCCAGGAAUGCUAAAAGUGUGGAAAAGAGAAUUAUGCGUUUUAGAUUAAAUAACCAAAAGACCGAGCAGAAAUACAGGGUCAAAAGAUGCUGAAAAUAAACCUUAGAUAUGGUUCAAGCACCACAAGCUCUUUAAGCUGCUCCCUGCAUGCAGGUGACCUUCGUUUGCAGCAGUACACCUGGUGAUGCCAUCACGAUGCUUUAAAGGACCCGGUGGCACAGUGAGAACGGGGAAGGUGGGAACUGAAAGCCAUGAGCCAGAGAAGGACCUGCUUAACUAUUACAUUUCAAAUGGAUAAACAACAGGGUCCUGCUGUAGAGCACAGGGAACUAUAUCCAAUCUCCUGGGCUAAACCAUCAUGGAAAAGAAUACGAAAAAGGACGUGUAUAUAAAUGUAACUGAGUCACUUUGCUGUACAGCAGAAAUUAACACAACAUUGUAAAUCAAUUAUACGUCAAUAAAAUAAAUUUUAAAAAAAAAGAAAGAAAAGGAUCUUCUUGGAGGACCAUGAGGCCCAGGAUGGAGCUCGUCCUGCCCACAAACCUCGCUGUGCAGUGUGCACAUGUUAACUCUAUCCAAAUCUAUCUCCUUCCCUUCCCGGUCGCCAUCUCAGGUAGGACAGUCAGGUCGCCAGCACCCAAGUGAGGUUUCAGCAAUGCCUUUCCCCCUUUCUGUUUCUCAUUAACUCUGUCAUUUAACAAUUCACUCUGAAGGGCUUCCCUGGUGGCGCAGUGGUUAAGAGUUCACGUGCCAAUGCAGGGGACACGGGUUCAAGCCCUGAACCAGGAAGAUCCCACCUGUCACGGAGCAACUAAGCCCGUGAGUCACAACUACUGAGCCCACGCGCCUAGAGCCCGUGCUCCGCAACAAGAGAAGCCACCGCAAUGAGAGGCGCGCGCACCGCAACGAAGAGUAGCCCCCGCUCGCUGCAACUAGAGAAAGCCCACGUGGAGCAACGAAGACCCAGUGUAGACAAAAAUAAAUAAAUUUAAGAAAAAGAAA